rnacentral:rRNA from 1 species
UGGCGGACGGGUGAGUAACGCGUGGGCAACCUGCCCCAUAGAGGGGGACAACAGCUGGAAACGGCUGCUAAUACCGCAUGACGCGGGAGAGGCGCAUGCCCUUUCCGCCAAAGGAGGCGACUCCGGUGCCGGCUGGGCACGCGUGACAUUAGCUAGUUGGCGGGGCGACGGCCCACCAAGGCGACGAUGUCUAGGGGUUCUGAGGGGAAGGUCCCCCACACUGGUACUGAGACACGGACCAGACUCCUACGGAAGGCAGCAG